GGGCAGCGAGUGACUUAAAGAAGCUCAUUUUUGGGACAAUGUAAGUAUAUCUUUUGUUGUGUGGUGGCGAUGAAAAUGUGCAAGGAUUACAUGUAUAUAUAUAGCGGUCGGGUUGGGUUUGGGAAGUUUGGUUUCAUGAGAUAGGGUUUGUGAUUGCGUAAAGAAGUUUGAUUAGUAGGAAAAUUGCAGAAAUGGUGAUGUUAGUGAUGGCUUGACUUGAAAAUAUGUACAAGUCAAGAAAUGGAGUCACUCGUCUUGGGUUAAAGAAUGAUCACGACGUUGCUAAUUAAAGCAUAAUUUGAUCAGUCAAAAUCUGAAAAAUAAAUUGUUUAGGAUGGAUUUCUUUUAUUCCCCAUUGGUGGAUUUCACAUAUUGAUAAGAGUUGUUAAGGAUUACACUGCCUUUUAUUGUUUAUAAUAAUUUUAUUUAUUUAUUUGUGUAUUUUUUAUAAAAUAGGAGAAUCGAGACUUAAAAAAAAACUCAAAUUAUAUAUUUACGCUCAUAAAUCACUCAUUAAUAUUAUAAAAACUCAUUCAUUCAAAUACGGAGAAGUUAAGAGAAAACGGACUCUCACGAUAAAUAAAUUUUUUAAACCAUAUUUAUUAUACUAGCAUGGUCUCGCAAUUUGUGACAUUUAAAAAUCGAAGUUUGGUUAUGGGUCUAGAUUACUAUGACCAUUCUGUUAGGCAGAGCGGCUUUCACUUCCCUUAACCAUCUGGCUUGGAAGCAGAAACUUCUGCAUUGACUUCAAGUCUUUUUUAUUUUUUGACAUUGCAUUGACUUCAAGUCUUGCUUUUACCAUUCACCCUCAAAUCACGGUCUUAAGGCAUAUAAUAAUAUGUUCAUGUUUCUGGACAAUAUUAUCUGUUUGGCCUGUAUGUGGAAUUUAAACUAAGAGAUAAAGAGGAAGGUACAUCAUUUCAUUUGGUUAAGUUUCUUUGAAAAGGUUGUAAGAUAUUUGUAUUCGUGUAGUAGUCAAAACUCAAAGCAUAUGAGCAGCCAGUUCUACAUGAUCUUGGGCUUUUAAUCAAGGCCCAUCUUCUCAAACUUCUUUUCGAAUGGGCUCUUUUUUUAGGUUGGAUUGGUAAUACUCGAUUUGUUUCAACGGUUGUUGGAUUAUAAGUUAGAGCCUAAUCUGACGGCCCUCAAAAAUCAAAUUACACUCUACUGCUAAUCUAAACAUGGAUUGGAAUAACUUUUUUGUGAAAAGUUAUUGAGCUACUCUUAAGCUGCUUACGGCAAUAAUUUUUUAUAGUAUUCGGUAAUAUAAAAUUUAAAUUAGCUUUUAAAGGUUAAAAUAGCAUUGUGUGAAAAGUUAACUUAUAAGAAAAUGAAAUUUAAUUAACUAUCAUAUUUUGAAAGAAAUAGGAAAUUGUCCGUGUAAUAUUUGUAAAAUUUAUUAUUGAAAAUAAAAAAGAGAAGCUAGUUUUAAUUAAAAAUAUUAUUUCAGUUCACCUAUAAGGUGGCUCAAAUGACCAGUGGCAGUAAGUAAUACAGUAGCUGCACAAUACUACAUGUGCUCAAACACUCGCUUAUUUUAAAUCACUUACUUAUUUCAAAUUGCCAUAUUUGUAUCUAGUAAAGCUUCAUGGGCAGAAAAUGACCUUGUAGUUAGUUCCAGUAGGGCAAGUAAACAAACUUGUAGGAUCAUCUUUAGGGUAACUGUAAGCAUCAGGGCACCUUUCCUUAAAGUACUUUGACAAAUCUGUAGGGCCACAGUUACCAGAAUUGCAGCAUUGUUCUUCAGUCUUUAACUGAGGGCAAGGGCCAUUGCACCCGCCAGGGACCUUCAAUUGAUUAGGGCACUGUCCUACAAGAUCUCCAACACAUUUGAUUACACGUGUACAACUUCCUGAAGCUGCACUAAACUCCAUAGGGACAUUGAACCCAUCAAUAACAGAUAUAUCAAUAAAAUCUUGAUGUUCAAAUUGGUCAAGUGCGUAUUCGGCUAGAGUGUUAGGUGCUGCACCGUAGCCUUGGCAAACUAGAAGACCGUUACAGUCACCAGUCUCGCAUUUGCCUUUUCCAGAAGCAUCAAAUUGGCAAUUGGUUCGAGCCCAAAUGCGAGCUUCUGUAGUUCCUGGAUUAGCACUAAUGGUCCAGGUUUCGCCGGUGUUGAGCCGUCUGCCUCCACCAGGUUUGGCUGCUGCCCAGACUGUGUAAGUACAUUUGUUGGUUAUGUCAAAUGUGGCUGCACGGGCAAAAGUGAAGUAAAGAGUGGCAAAAAGGAAUGAAAGGGCAGGAAGUGACUUAAAGAAGCUCAUUUUUGGGACAAUGUAAGUAUUUCUUUUGUUGUGUGGUGG
rnacentral:lncRNA from 1 species